UUCGACAUUGUCUUGACUGACUUUCACAUGGCCUACAUGGACGGAAUUCAACUCCUAGAGUCAAUCCGAUUGUUGAAGAGGACGGCUCACAUUCCCCUUGUCCGUAAGUCCCUCAUUAGAAUUAAUUUCUUAAUUUCUCGUGGAUAAUAUACAUAUACAAACGCACAUAUAUCCUUAUUGGUCGUAUGAUAUACAUGCUUGUCAGUGUUCUUAGGAGACCGGGAAAUGGAUGUUAUUAUUGUGUCACUAGCGAUUGAGAAGGGCGCUUGCGGUUUCCUGGUGAAUCUGAUUCUAGAUGAUGAACUAAAGAUGAUUUGGAAGCAUGUGUAUCGCUCUAGGCUCAGGAAGAAGGGCGUCGUCAACAAUGGAGUCGCCGAAGUUGAUCAGCAAGAGAGAUCCGAAUCUCUGUACCAGUCCUCAUCUGAUGAUGCAGCAACUCACAAGAGUAAAGGAUAGUGCUGAUCGAGAUGAUAAAAGGGAACGAUAGUGAGGGCAUUAAAACCAGUACAUCGGCGUCAACUCUGAAGAGGCCUCGAAUGUAUUGGACGCGGGGUUGCCACCAAAAGUUUAUUGAGGCCAUGAACAGAAUCAACAAGGGGAAGAAAGGAUGAUUUGGAAACAAAGGAUCGCCAGAGGUCGAGAUUUUGGAUGAGAUGCAAAAGAUGGGUGUUACGGGUCUUACUUGAGAAAUUGUCCACAGACACCUUCAGAAACACACAAUGGAUAGGAAGAAGCAACGACAAUCCUCGGAGCGACAAAAUGGGCACCCUGGCCCGAUCAGUUGGUCAAGCCCAGGCCAAUACGCAUAUCUAAUGAUCGAG